rnacentral:rRNA from 1 species
GACGAACGCUGGCGGCGUGCUUAACACAUGCAAGUCGAACGGUGAAAGCGGAGCUUGCUCCGCUGGAUCAGUGGCGAACGGGUGAGUAACACGUGGGCAACCUUCCCCUGACUUCGGGAUAACGCGUCGAAAGAGGUCAUAAUACCGGAUACGAAUCCUGCAGGCAUCUGCGGGAUUGGACAGUUUUUCGGUCAGGGAUGGGCCCGCGGCCUAUCAGCUUGUUGGUGAGGUAGUGGCGCACCAAGGGGACGACGGGUAGCCGGCCUGAGAGGGCGACCGGCCAGACUGGGACUGAGACACGGCCCAGACUCCUACGGGAGGCAGCAGUGGGGAAUAUUGCGCAAUGAGCGAAAGCCUGACGCAGCAACGCCGCGUGAGGGAUGACGGCCUUCGGGUUGUAAACCUCUUUCAGCAGGGAAGAAGCGAAAGUGACGGUACCUGCAGAAGAAGCACCGGCUAACUACGUGCCAGCCGCCGCCGUAA